CUCCAGACUCCUACGGGAGGCAGCAGUGGGGAAUAUUGCACAAUGGGGGGAACCCUGAUGCAGCAACGCCGCGUGGGUGAAGAAGUAUUUCGGUAUGUAAAGCCCUAUCAGCAGGGAAGAAGAUGACGGUACCUGACUAAGAAGCCCCGGCUAAAUACGUGCCAGCAGCCGCGGUAAUACGUAUGGGGCAAGCGUUAUCCGGAUUUACUGGGUGUAAAGGGAGCGCAGGCGGCGCGGCAAGUCAGAUGUGAAAGCCCGGGGCUCAACCCCGGGACUGCAUUUGAAACUGCCGUGCUGGAGUGUCGGAGAGGCAAGUGGAAUUCCUAGUGUAGCGGUGAAAUGCGUAGAUAUUAGGAGGAACACCAGUGGCGAAGGCGGCUUACUGGACUGUAACUGACGUUGAGGCUCGAAAGCGUGGGGAGCAAACAGGAUUAGAUACCCUAGUA
rnacentral:rRNA from 1 species